AUGCCGGUUAUGAAAGGAUUGCUGGCGCCCCAGAACACCUUCCUGGACACCAUCGCCACCCGCUUUGACGGAACACAUAGCAACUUCAUCCUCGCCAACGCCCAGGUGGCCAAGGGCUUCCCCAUCGUCUACUGCUCGGACGGCUUCUGUGAGCUCGCUGGAUUUGCCCGAACAGAAGUCAUGCAGAAGAGCUGCAGCUGCAAGUUCUUAUUCGGAGUCGAGACCAAUGAACAGCUGAUGCUUCAGAUAGAGAAGUCCUUGGAGGAGAAAACAGAAUUCAAAGGAGAAAUUAUGUUCUACAAGAAGAAUGGGUCUCCAUUUUGGUGCCUGUUGGAUAUUGUUCCCAUAAAGAAUGAGAAGGGAGAUGUGGUCCUUUUUCUGGCCUCGUUCAAAGAUAUAACAGACACGAAAGUGAAGAUUACUCCAGAAGAUAAAAAAGAAGACAAAGCCAAAGGACGAUCCAAAGCUGGAGCCCACUUUGAUUCAGCCAGGAGACGAAGCAGAGCAGUCCUUUAUCACAUCUCUGGCCACCUGCAAAGAAGAGAAAAGAACAAACUGAAAAUAAGCAAUAAUGUUUUCGUGGACAAACCAGCAUUUCCGGAGUAUAAAGUUUCUGACGCAAAGAAGUCCAAAUUCAUACUUUUGCAUUUUAGCACUUUCAAAGCCGGCUGGGACUGGCUUAUUCUAUUGGCGACGUUUUAUGUUGCCGUGACGGUACCUUACAACGUCUGCUUCAUUGGCAACGAUGACCUGUCGACGACGCGGAGCACGACAGUCAGUGACAUUGCAGUGGAGAUUCUGUUUAUUAUAGACAUUAUUUUGAAUUUUCGAACGACCUAUGUCAGCAAGUCUGGCCAAGUCAUCUUUGAAGCGAGAUCAAUCUGCAUUCACUACGUCACCACAUGGUUCAUCAUCGAUCUAAUCGCUGCCCUGCCCUUUGACCUCCUGUAUGCUUUCAACGUCACAGUGGUGUCCCUGGUGCACCUCCUGAAGACCGUGCGGCUGCUGCGCCUCCUGCGCCUCCUGCAGAAGCUGGACCGCUACUCCCAGCACAGCACGAUCGUCCUGACUCUGCUCAUGUCCAUGUUCGCCCUGCUGGCCCACUGGAUGGCGUGCAUCUGGUACGUCAUCGGAAAAAUGGAGAGGGAAGACAACAGCCUUCUGAAGUGGGAAGUUGGCUGGCUCCAUGAGCUGGGGAAGAGACUGGAAUCGCCCUACUAUGGGAACAACACCCUGGGCGGGCCGUCGAUCCGAAGCGCCUAUAUCGCGGCUCUGUACUUCACGCUCAGCAGCCUCACCAGCGUUGGGUUUGGGAACGUCUCUGCUAACACGGAUGCAGAAAAGAUCUUCUCCAUCUGCACCAUGCUGAUCGGCGCCUUGAUGCACGCCCUGGUGUUUGGAAACGUGACGGCGAUCAUCCAGAGAAUGUACUCCAGGUGGUCCCUCUAUCACACCAGAACCAAGGAUCUGAAGGACUUCAUCCGCGUCCAUCACCUGCCCCAGCAGCUCAAGCAGAGGAUGCUGGAGUAUUUCCAGACAACCUGGUCAGUCAACAAUGGAAUAGAUUCCAAUGAGCUUUUGAAGGACUUUCCGGACGAGCUCCGCUCCGACAUCACCAUGCACCUGAACAAGGAGAUCUUGCAGCUGUCCCUGUUCGAGUGCGCCAGCCGGGGCUGCCUGCGGUCGCUGUCUCUGCACAUCAAAACCUCCUUCUGCGCCCCCGGGGAGUACCUGCUGCGCCAGGGGGACGCUUUGCAGGCCAUCUACUUCGUGUGCUCGGGCUCCAUGGAGGUUCUUAAAGACAGCACGGUGCUGGCCAUUCUCGGGAAAGGGGAUUUAAUUGGAGCCAAUCUGUCAAUCAAGGACCAAGUGAUCAAGACCAACGCGGAUGUGAAGGCGCUGACCUACUGUGACCUCCAGUGUAUCAUCCUCAAAGGACUCUUUGAAGUGCUGGACCUGUACCCAGAAUAUGCUCACAAGUUUGUGGAAGACAUUCAGCAUGACCUCACAUACAACCUUCGAGAAGGUCAUGAGAGUGAUGUGAUAUCAAGAUUAUCAAACAAAUCGACAGUCUCACAGUCGGAGCCCAAGGGAAACGGCAGUAUCAAGAAGAGACUGCCGUCCAUCGUGGAAGACGAGGAGGAGGAGGACGACGACGAGGGGGAGGAGACAGCCUCCCUGUCCCCCGUCUACACCAGGGCACCCGCCUCUUCUCGCAGCAAGCGGCCUGGAGGCGGUAAGAGCUACCUGGGCUUAAGCCUGAAGCAGCUGGCCUCGGGAACGGUGCCCUUUCACUCACCUAUCAGAGUCUCCAGUUCAAACUCCCCCAAAACCAAGCAGGAGAUGGAUGCCCCAAACUAUGGCAGAAGAAAAGAGAACUUGAAAUUGCAGCUUUCAACUUGGAACAGUGCUGGACCCCCAGACCUCAGUCCCAGGAUUGUUGAUGGAAUUGAAGAUGGAAACAGCAGUGAAGAAAGCCAGACUUUCGACUUUGGCUCUGAACGAAUCAGACCAGAGCCCAGAAUUUCUCCUCCUCUUGGAGACCCAGAGAUUGGAGCUGCUGUCCUCUUUAUCAAAGCGGAGGAGACCAGGCAGCAGAUAAGCAAACUCAACAGUGAGGUAACCACGCUGACUCAGGAGGUCUCCCAGCUCGGCAGGGACAUGAAGACGGUGAUGCAGCUUCUCGAGCACGUCCUGUCUCCGCAGCAGCAGUCCCGGCUUUGCUCUCUGCACACCGCCUCUCUGCGUCCCUCCAGUUUCCAGGGCGGGAUGACCUGGAGCACACACCAGCCCUGUCUGCACUUGCAAGCCGCUGGUGCCGCCUACACCCCAGCCCAGCUCUGCCAGGGGAGUGUCACCCCCGAGAGAUGGAGUGUGGGGCCCUCCUCGGCGGGGGGCAGCCCCCUGCAGACGGGAGCCCAGGAGCAGAGUCCUGCGGGCGUGGAGCUCCGCGCCUCCCCGAGCCUGGAUCACGCGCCUGCCCACUGCCAGGUGGUCCAGGAAGGUCGCCUGCAGCUUCUCAGGUGCAUCUCCCCACAGUCGGACACGACGCUGACGCCGCUGCAGUCCAUCUCGGCCACCCUCUCCUCCUCCGCUUGCUCCUCCUCAGAGACCUCUUUGCACCUGGUUCUCCCCAGCAGAUCAGAGGAGGGCAGCUUGGGCCAGGGAGCCGUGAGUUCCUUCAGUCUGGAAAACCUGCCGGGAUCUUGGGAGCGGGAAAGGCGGGCAUCCAUCUCCACCGAUCCCCUGGAGAGCUUUCCGCUGGAAAUGGUCUCAAGCACAGCAGAAGGGAAAGAUGGCAGAGCCGGGCACGUAUGA
rnacentral:lncRNA from 1 species